rnacentral:lncRNA from 1 species
GAAUCAUGCAACAUGUAUUGUAUGAUGAAUGAGAAUUUUUUAUCUUUGGGAAAUUAAGACUAAUCCUUGUUCACAUGCACAUGUGAGUCAAGUGAAGGACUAAAGGAUUGGGUAUAGUUGGUUAUGUGCUAAUCGGGUCCACCAUAAAGGUUGAUAAGAUUAUUCUUUAUGAUUUACUAAAGUUUAGUAAAUAUGGUUAUACUUACAAGUUUAAGUAUAAUUCUGAAACAUUGGAAACGUUUCAUUGUAUGAUAGAACGGAUAAGAAGAAUCAAAUAAGGCAGGAAGAUAAACGUUUUUCCAAUCUUGAGAGAUUGGAGAGUACUUGUAUAUCUUGUUUUAUGAUUAUCUUAGUGAUUAUGGAACCAUAUCACAGUUGAUCCUCUAAGGACACUUUAGUGUAUUUGUUGGCUAAGCGGAGGAAUCAUGUAUUUUGGAAAUGGUUAAAUCAAAAAGAUAAAUCGUACUUCAUUCUAAAAUCAAAUAUUAGAGUCAUACUCCAAGAUUGAGCCUUGAGUGACUUAAUCUUUAGAAAGUUAAUAACACUUGUCAAAUGUAGAAUAAGAUGUUUCCUAUUUUUGUACAUUUGAGAUUGGUAAGUUGUGAUGUUUUGGAUGCAACAAAGACCAACUAAGACCAAUUAUGAGAAGUGUUUAACUUGAUAAAAAUCCGCGCUAACUCUUCAAUAUUUGUUUUGUCAAGGAAUGGUUCUUGAAAAAGAAAACUUCUAUGUCAAGAGGACUGUGGGAGACUUGAGAUAGUUUCGAGAACUGAUCAAGAGUAUUGUUAAUCACUAGCCCCCGACUUAAGGUAUAUAACCUAUCGUGUUGACGUAUUUUUGUUUCUGUGCCAUUCUAGUUAAAGUUGGCCAUUCUAGUUAAAGUUGGCUAAGAUUGUGAAAAUCAUCCAUUAAUAAGCAAUAUUGGCAAAUGCUUUUGAUUCUUUCAUUUGUGGUAGUGUCAUAAUUUACCAAGUAAGGAAAGAUUCUCAUCACCUAAGUUUCAGUUUGAUAGAAACUUGGAAUCAUGCAACAUGUAUUGUAUGAUGAAUGAGAAUUUUUUAUCUUUGGGAAAUUAAGACUAAUCCUUGUUCACAUGCACAUGUGAGUCAAGUGAAGGACUAAAGGAUUGGGUAUAGUUGGUUAUGUGCUAAUCGGGUCCACCAUAAAGGUUGAUAAGAUUAUUCUUUAUGAUUUACUAAAGUUUAGUAAAUAUGGUUAUACUUACAAGUUUAAGUAUAAUUCUGAAACAUUGGAAACGUUUCAUUGUAUGAUAGAACGGAUAAGAAGAAUCAAAUAAGGCAGGAAGAUAAACGUUUUUCCAAUCUUGAGAGAUUGGAGAGUACUUGUAUAUCUUGUUUUAUGAUUAUCUUAGUGAUUAUGGAACCAUAUCACAGUUGAUCCUCUAAGGACACUUUAGUGUAUUUGUUGGCUAAGCGGAGGAAUCAUGUAUUUUGGAAAUGGUUAAAUCAAAAAGAUAAAUCGUACUUCAUUCUAAAAUCAAAUAUUAGAGUCAUACUCCAAGAUUGAGCCUUGAGUGACUUAAUCUUUAGAAAGUUAAUAACACUUGUCAAAUGUAGAAUAAGAUGUUUCCUAUUUUUGUACAUUUGAGAUUGGUAAGUUGUGAUGUUUUGGAUAACACAAAGNAUGUCAAGAGGAUUGUGGGAGACUUGAGAUAGUUUCGAGAACUGAUCAAGAGUAUUGUUAAUUACUAGCCCACGACUUAAGGUUUAUAACCUAUCGUGUUGACUUAUUCUUGUUUCUGUGCCAUUCUAGUUAAAUGCAUUUGAUUCUUUCAUUUGUGGUGGUGUCAUAAUUUACCAAGUAUGGAAAGAUUCUCAUCACCCAAGUUUCAGUUGGAUAGAAACUUGGAAUCAUGCAACAUGUAUUGUAUGAUGAAUGCGAGUUUUUCAUCUUUGGGAAAUUAAGACUAAUUCCUUGUUCACAUGCACAUGUGAGUCAAGUGAAGGAAUAAAGGAUUGGGUAUACUUGGUUAUGUGCUAAUUGGGUCCACCACAAAGGUGGAUAAGAUUAUCCGUUAUGAUUUACUAAAGUUUAGUAAAUAUGGUUAUACUUACAAGUUUAAGUAUAAUUUUGAUACAUUGGAAAGGUUUCAAU